AAUAAGGUUAUUUUUUAGUUUUUAGAUACAAUAUUUUGAUUCUUCGUCUUAUUUAAAAUUUUUUUAUGAUUAAUAUUCUUUUACUAGAUGAUAAAAUAUAAAUAGUACUUUAUGCGUGACCAAUUUUUUAAGUUUUUGUAUAAUUUUUUUAAAUAAGAUGAAUGGUCAAACGUUAGACACGGAAAAAC
rnacentral:pre_miRNA from 1 species